GGAAGGAGGUUCUGUCUCUGACCUGUGGUUUGAAAGAAAAUAAAGAAGAGGGGCCAGAUGGAGUCUCACUCUGUCGCCCAAGCUGCAGUGCAAUGGCACGAUCUCAACUCACUGCAACCUCCGCCUCCCGGGUUCAAGCGAUUCUCCUGCCUCAGCCUCCCGAGUAGCUGGGAUUACGGGCGCCCCCCACCACCACGUCUGGGUGCUGUGAUUACAGGCGUGAGCCACCGCGCCCAGCGACUCUCUCAUUCUGUCUUGCCCGCUGACGUGUAAGACAUGCCUUUGCUCCUCCUUCACCUUCUGCCGUGAUCGUGAGGCCUCCCCAGCCACAUGGAACUAUACUUCAAAUUACUUCUAUGCAUUUGGAGAGCGGGAGAGAAAAACACCAGGAAGGAAGAGGGAACAAAGAAACUCUACAGGCAGAGACACAGGACUGAGCCGUGUUGGGGGCACUGGGGGGAGUGAGCCUUGGGGUUGCACCCUCGGAGCCCCACUGUCCUGGGAGCAGCCUUCAGAACCACCCUUUUGUUCUCUGAAGUACCAGGCGUUCAGCUUUUCCGAGGACUGGCGGCUGCACGUCUUUGUCCCUGCCCCCUCCAUCUCUCGGCUCAGCCCCGUUGGGCAGCCUGGCCCACUCCCCACCCCUGCCCAGGGCCAACCCCUACUUCCCAUGCCUCCUCUGCCCACCUGCAGCGCACUGGAGCCUUGGAGGCCCUCUCUGCGUCAUUCAAGAUGGGCCCCCCCGCCCCGGAGACUCCUACACUUUGACCUGCACACAUCCUCCUGAAGCUUCCACUUCCUGGCCCCUGCCUGGCUUCUCACCUCCCCCACCUCAGCCCCCCAGGGGAUGUCCCGCCUCUCCCAGUGGCCCAGGACAUCCUCCACUUCCCGGGAACCCCAGGCACUUCCACAUCCUCAGACACAGUGAGAAGAUGACCCUCUCUCCAAGCCAGGAAGAGACCUCCCGAGGAGCCCAGCCAGCACCCUGACCUCCAGCGUCCAGCCUCUGGAAAUGUGAGAGGCCAACGUCUGCGCUGGGAGCCACGUGGUCCCGUGCGAUCUGGCCUGACGCUAAAGCCGUGGUAUCACAGAACUGAGGGUGGGAGGGAGUGUCCUGGGCUACUCACCAAUCUGUGAAAAGACGACAAACUUAUCUGUGCAGGGGAUACUGAAGGCUGCGCUCCUGCCCCGCACCAGGAUGUGGGAACUUUGAGAACCGCUGGAGAGUCGAGAGAUAUCAUCGAAACGACACCCGGAGACAGGGCAUGGCGAUCAGGAGCAGCGUGAGCCAAAGGAGGACCAUCGGGAACGCAGCUCCGGAACGCAGGACAGAGGUGCCUGCUGGAGGAGAAACGAGAGUCAGGCAGCUGGGACUGGCUGUGAAACUGGGUUGCGGGUAAUGAAGGAUGCUUGCCCCUUCCAGAGCCUGGUGCUCACAGCAGAAGGAGCUGCUUCUGGAGGGAAAGUGGUGAGACUCGCCCUUGUUGUCCAGGCUGGAGUGCAGUGGCACGAUCUCGGCUCAUUGCA